rnacentral:rRNA from 1 species
UAUUUAACGCUGGCNGCAGGCCUAACACAUGCAAGUCGAGCCGGAAACGAAGAGGUGCUUGCACCUCUGGCGUCGAGCGGCGGACGGGUGAGCUAAUGCUUGGGAAUAUGCCUUAUGGUGGGGGACAACAGUUGGAAACGACUGCUAAUACCGCAUGAUGUCUACGGACCAAAGUGGGGGACCUUCGGGCCUCACGCCAUAAGAUUAGCCCAAGUGGGAUUAGCUAGUUGGUGAGGUAAUGGCUCACCAAGGCGACGAUCCCUAGCUGGUUUGAGAGGAUGAUCAGCCACACUGGGACUGAGACACGGCCCAGACUCCUACGGGAGGCAGCAGUGGGGAAUAUUGCACAAUGGGCGCAAGCCUGAUGCAGCCAUGCCGCGUGUGUGAAGAAGGCCUUCGGGUUGUAAAGCACUUUCAGUAAGGAGGAAAGGUUAAGUGUUAAUAGCACUUAGCUGUGACGUUACUUACAGAAGAAGCACCGGCUAACUCCGUGCCAGCAGCCGCNGGUAAUA